AUUUUCCCGUGGUUAUGCUGGUCUGUUUCAGUUUGGUGUUUGUAGAGGGUGAAUCUAGAGCAGUGGUCAUGUUGAGACUGCUUCGUUACUGGUUUCUAUUGGCUGGGAUGUGAUGUAUUUGCUUAAAGGUGCUCGGGUCCUUGGUUUUCAAUUCUAGUGCUCUUUUCUGUAUUACGGUAGGAGAUUCUCUUGGUGACUUUUCCAGCUGAUAGCUUCAAGUGGGAGUUGAUGAGGAGGGAGAGAGUAAUGCUGGUCUUUAAAUCAUCAUCUGUGAGGGCAUUUGGAGUGGGCGUCUUAGAAUGCAGAGAUUUGAUGAUUUCCAUCCGGACGAAGUGUGUAUUUGGCGUCUGUACGGAUACAGGUUAGUGAACCGCACGAGAAUAAGCGUCCUUUUUUUAGUCUGCACAUGGACAUGGCUGAUAGAAAGCAUGGGAGCUGGAAUUUGAUCACAAGCUGUGAAGUGCAUAGGUCAUGUGGGAGACCUAUGGCCGAAGUUGAGAGGAGCGUGUCUGUAUUUUUUGGAUGUCGUGUAGAGGACGCUUCGGUGACACUUAGCUCAAGUGGUUGGGAGGAGAUGGUGUGUGAGAGUUAGAGAGAGAGAGAGAGAGAGAGAGAGAGAGAGCGAGAAAGAGAUAUCUUUACAGAGUCUGAUGGUGAUCGCUUUUCGAUCUAUUCAGUCUGCUCACAUGUAAAAUGGAAUCGUGGACUUUGUUGUAAAGGUUGGAGUGACCGGAAGUUCUAUUUGUCUUCUGGAUUUCAUGUUUUAUUUUUCACUUCGAGUAGGAUAGAUGCAUCUUUCAUUUGUGUACCAUGUUUGACUAGCGUCAGAUCUUUGCUGCUUCAUACGUUGGAUACUAAAACGGCAUGGAGGGUGUUGUGGAAAAUGGAGUGAGUCGGACAGUGGAUUCUGUCAAGCUUUUCGUGGGGCAGCUGCCUAAGCAGAUGUCUGAGCAGCAGUUAGUGGAGGUCUUUUCAGAAGCAGGAACUGUUCAUGAGAUUAACAUUAUCAAGGACAAGCUUACUAAGCAGUCCCGAGGCUGCUGUUUCCUCACGUACACCACCAGGCAGGAGGCUGAUAAAGCUAUUGAGAUCUUCCACAAUAAACGCACUCUUCAGCCAGUAGCCAGUCCCUUGCAAGUGAAGUAUGCUGAUGGCGAGAUGGAACGAUUAGAACACAAGCUUUUUAUUGGGAUGCUUCCUAAAGGAGCAUCUAAAGCAGAUGUGAUGGCAGUGUUUUCGCCAUAUGGAUCCAUCAAAGAACUAUCUGUCAUCAAAGGCUCCCAGCCAACCAGCAAAGGAUGCGCUUUUUUAAAAUAUGAAACUAAGGAACAAGCUAUUGCUGCUAUUGAAGCUCUUAAUGGAGUCCACAGAAUGGAGGGCUCACCAUCUGCGUUGGUGGUUAAGUGGGCCGACACUGAGAAAGAAAGGCAGGCGCGUAAAGUGCAGAAGGCUCAAUCAGUUUCUUCCCCUCCUAUACCCGGUCAGCAACCAUCUAUUUUUGGUGCUGUACCAAUGGGCUAUGUAACGGCUCCUCCCCCUUACAAUGGUUACCCUUACCAGCCAAUUAGCAACUAUGCUAUCGCAUACCCGCAACAGCCUGGAAUGGUCGGCUUACCAACUGCUAUUCCAGGUUCUCAAUCAGACCUUACAGCAUAUGCUCCUAUGCAACCGGCAACAUAUCCUUUUGCUGGACAGCAAUACCCAGUUCCUUAUCAAGGCCAAAUUAUAGGACAUCAAGGCCAGUCGUAUCCCUCUCCUCUGCCUCCCUCUCUUAUUGGGAUGAAUACCGCGCAAGUAGCUGCUGCCGCUGUUAGGACUAGUGUGGGCCCCCAGACCGAAGGUCCAGCGGGCGCUAAUUUAUUUAUUUAUCACAUACCACCCGAAUUUGGUGAUCAGGAGCUAUCUACCGCCUUUUCAUCUUUUGGAAAUGUCAUUAGUGCCAAAGUUUUUGUAGACAAGACAACUGGAGCCAGCAAAUGCUUUGGAUUUGUUAGUUACGACACUCCUGAAGCAGCUCAGGCCGCUAUAAAUGUAAUGAAUGGAUUCCAGCUGAGUGGGAAAAGGUUGAAGGUUCAGCUCAAGCGCGAUACCAAACAAAGAAAACCGUACUGAAAAAUACUGAGAAACAGGGGCUGUCUGCCACAAUGAGUAGGGAUGCACAUUAGACAGUGCAUGCGGGGAAAUAGUUGGGCUGGGACUCUAAUUGAACCGCUGAGCGGGCGCCAACACCAAUCAUAUUUGCAGGACGACGUUUGUCUUAAGUCCUCUCAGCCUUGACUGUCCUCGAGGGUCUCUUCUGGAGGUAAAAUCUGGGGCCUGCAGAAAUAAUCAAAUCGUUUCCAAUCUUUUUGUCAUCAGGACGCAUACGCUGUCACACAUCCUCUGCACGUGGACCUUGGUGUGAGGGAAGGUAGCUCUGCUGCUGCUGCUGCUGCCGCUCAUUUUACUGGAAAUCAACGAACUUUUCAUCGAGGUUAUUGAAGCAUAAUGUCGGGUGUCAGCAAGAGGUGAAGGUGGGUUCUUUCUUUUACCCCAGUAUUGGUUUGAUAUGAAAUUAGAUCUUUGUUUGACGAGAGAAUACAUGAGAAUUACCUAUUGUCCAUAAGAAGGGUUAGUUGGUGCUUUUCUAUUCCUCAACUUUUCUACCCUGUCCUGCAUUUCAUUGGAGUUGAACAUCUUGAGGGCUUUGUUAAUUACUGGGGGUGAUUACAGUCUUGAUAAUUACAGUCUUUCUUUUACUUAUUUUAAUCAUCCUCGUUCAAAUCUGAUUUCUGGAUUAGGCACUGUUUCCUCAUGUUUGAUUGUUUGCAAGUAGAGUCCCUGCUUUGGUUGUAGUCACAUUCAUUACAUUUCCCUGCCUUAUCGGGAAACCAGAAAGAUUCCUUAAGGUUAUGUUUAAGCUUGGUAUGUGUUAUCUAAUAUAUUUACGUAAGAAAAAUCUGAUACUGGUUAGCCGCACAAUGCAGUGCAAUUUGUUUUUCCUUCGGAUCCUUUUUCAAUAUAUAGAUCUUCAAAGCCCUUUCCAGACUAUGUUCUGGUUGCAUGACAGCGUGUGUUACAUCACCUGUCGAACUGACAACUCGUGUCCCCAAAAGUAAAAGGUCAAUCGUAUUGACCUGCUUUGCUUUGGACCAAUGGUUUCCAGUUGACAGAGAUCAUACUUCAAUUCCUACCGGCCAUUAGUGUCGCAACCGUCUGAACAAUAUAAUAUAGCGUUCGAGUACAUCAUGAUAAACAUGAUUGAAAUUCACUGA